AGCUGACAACUUACUUCCAAAGUCUCCAUUCCUACCUAUGGACUCUUGGACACCCUCACAGAAGAGAACUUUUUUGGGAAUUCUUCUGGGAGUGAAUGGCACCAUUAAAUUUCCAAAAGAAGGCUCCUCCAACAAAGAGCUCUUCACCUGAAUAUUUUGCAAGAGACACACUCUGAAGGUGAUGACCCCAAAGACAAGGUAUAUUUGUUAGAGUUGGUGCCAUUACUUCUACCACCAGCUUCACCAAAACAAUGAUAUAGUCUUCCUUAUGCACAGUCACUUCUCUUUCCUGUGUGGCAGUGGAUACCUCCUGCAGAUAAGAAAUGCUUAACUGAGAAAUGCUCAUGUUGGGAUAUCAUCGAUGAGACUUUAAUUUGGGCAUGGUGACUGUUUCCCUUGCUGCCACUUGACUCAAACCCAGGAGCCUCACUAGAGGAAAUAAUAUUACACAAGAAGCUCAAAAUGAUGGAAUUGCUCAGUGCUCCCAUAAAGAUACACUUAUAAUUUUCCUUUGCCAUGUGAUAAAUUUUUGAAAAUAGGAUACAGUCAAAAGAAACUCUGCAUGAUAUUUUUUUAAAAACUCGACAUUUAAAUAAUUAAUAUAUAAAUUAAGUGCCCUCCUCUCAUUAAUGCCACCCUUAUAGCUUUCUUCUAUUAAGGGAGGUAUGUGCAUUCUUUUAGAGGAUAGAUGUGCACAAACACAAAAACUAUUUUGGGGAGGGGGUCUAGAAGUGGGACAUAUUGUAAUAUAUUCUCCUGCAAAUUGCCUCUUUCAUUUAAUAGUCUUUUCAAUGGGCUUUUUCUACUUCAGUAAUACAUACAUAUCUGUGCCAUUUGUUGAAUGACUGCAUGACUGUUUUGUAGAUGAAAUAUAAUUAAAUGUUUUAAGCAUUUCUCAUUCAUAGAUAUUUAUGUUAGCACCAAAUUUCUGUGCAAUGAACCUCCCUAUAUAUCAACAAUCUUGCUUUUGUUUAUUAUAUCAUAAUAAAAUUACUAAGCAGUUGAA